CUGGAUUAUGUAUUAUUCCAU
rnacentral:snRNA from 1 species